UACGUAGGUGGCAAGCGUUGUCCGGAAUUAUUGGGCGUAAAGCGCGCGCAGGCGGUCUUUUUAAGUCUGAUGUGAAAGCCCACGGCUCAACCGUGGAGGGUCAUUGGAAACUGGGAGACUUGAGUGCAGAAGAGAAGAGUGGAAUUCCACGUGUAGCGGUGAAAAUGCGUAGAGAUGUGGAGGAACACCAGUGGCGAAGGCGACUCUUUGGUCUGUAACUGACGCUGAGGCGCGAAAGCGUGGGGAGCAAACAGG
rnacentral:rRNA from 1 species